rnacentral:misc_RNA from 1 species
CUCCUCAUUGCAUCACCUAAACACGACUUUCGUGUGCGCACGCCCAAGGCGCGUCCAUCCCCAUCGUCUGCCGCCUUCAUUCCACCAUGCAGACAGACACACCCAACACGCACACGCACACGCUUGUGGACAUCUGCCGGGGUAUGCAUGACUGUCGUGCAUGUGCAUGUGCAUGCGCGUGUGUGUGCGUGUGCGUGCGCACGCGGUAGUUGCCGGGGAGCCCUCACAGGCUCGUCCUUCCGUGCGCUGUUCUCUUCCUACUUGUUCUUCGUGUUGUUUGGCUGUGCUAGUCGCCUGUCGUUUAAAGCGUGCCUGUAUGUUUAACCGGUGUUGUUACGCAGCGGAUGCUGCGGUGGCUACCAAGAGCAUGUGCGAGCCCUCCCUGUCCUUUUCUCUGUGCUGCAGUGAUGGGUCGCGUGCGUAGAGAGGCGCGGAGGGAGGAAGUGGCCGAGCUGAUGGCCUUGCCUCUGGGAGAAGACAGAGAGAGAAGGGAGGGGGAAGAAGUGGGCUGCGGUGGGCCUGGUGGGGCCACACAUGAUUCUCCUUGGAACCCAUCCCUGAUGUAGCCAGAGGUGGAGGUGUUCAUGCACGCAUUUGACUGUUCCUUUUCUUGGCUUUCGUGUUGCCUUCGCUCGAGCGGCUUCCCGUGGCUGCAGCGCGGCGGUGCUGGCACUAAGGAGUUGAGAAGGGGGAGUGGGGCAACGUACCGUUGCGGGCACGCUGUUGUUAUCUCUUGCCUCUGUGUGCUCUCGCUCCCUCCCUCCGUUCCUCUGUCUUAUUGGUGUUGCUCUGGCACGGCCCCCCUCGUGUCUUCUUCUCUCUUCCAUCCCACCCUCCACCCAUCCGCACACACACACACACACACACACACACGGCCUGUUCCCUCUCUCCAUUCUACCCCUUUCUGACGUUUUUCUUUUUCGGUUAUGAUUGUGAUGCAACACCAUCCUCUAACCCUUUCCCAGAGCGGCCAUGGAGAGAAUAUGUGCGUGUCUGUGUGUGUGUGUGUGUGCCACGUCUCUUGCGAUAUCGGGGUGAGCCGAUGACGGCGACGGCAGUGGCGGUGCUCUGUAGAGUCCACGUAAGCACGAACAGGACUACUACGCAUAACGCGAAAAAAAAACAAAAAAACAUUGAGCAGGUUCAAGCGCGGGCGUAUGCAGCUAAUACGUGGUCUCUGUGCUGGAGGCCUGCUGCUGUGCAUCCUCAAAGUGGGUACUAGUAAUGAUGGCGGUGCGGUGGUGGUGGUGGGGACAGAGGUAUGGAUAGAAUGGCGGCCUUCUUUUUAGUUGUUGGCUCCUUCCCACUCGUACAAGCACAAACGGGCGCGGGUGGGAAAGCAGCGCGCAAGGAGGAAGCACACCGCGCCCAUGGACGCCUCCGUCUUGUUUGAGUGACGCAUGCUUAUCCCGUCCGUGUCUCCCUCUCUCUCUCGCCCUUUGCUUUGGCGUGCACCAUCGCCGUGGUUGGUCUUCGCUUUUUUUUUUGCGUUUCCGACUUCGCGGUUUGCGUGAGGAG